UACCACGGAAAGAAAAUUGUCUCUGCUUUC
rnacentral:piRNA from 1 species